UUUCCGUAGGUGAACCUGCGGAAGGAUCAUUACAAAAAAUAAGAGUAGCAAUACUCUUGCUCGAAGAGUUUGGCGUUCCCCUUCCACCCCUCUCUUUUUUUGUCGCAAGACAAAAGAGAAGGGUGGUGGAAAGAACAAAAAACGAAUUGAGAAAUCUUUUGUGCACCGUAAAAACAAAUUCGCGUUUAAAUCUUCUGUCUGAUGUACAUUUACAGUUUUCGCGAACCGGAUUCACGUCCAUUUGCAAGAAAAGAAAACAUAAAAAUAACUUUUAACAACGGAUCUCUUGGCUCUC
rnacentral:misc_RNA from 1 species